GAUGAACGCUGGCGGCGUGCCUAAUACAUGCAAGUCGAGCGAAUGGAUUAAGAGCUUGCUCUUAUGAAGUUAGCGGCGGACGGGUGAGUAACACGUGGGUAACCUGCCCAUAAGACUGGGAUAACUCCGGGAAACCGGGGCUAAUACCGGAUAACAUUUUGAACCGCAUGGUUCGAAAUUGAAAGGCGGCUUCGGCUGUCACUUAUGGAUGGACCCGCGUCGCAUUAGCUAGUUGGUGAGGUAACGGCUCACCAAGGCAACGAUGCGUAGCCGACCUGAGAGGGUGAUCGGGCACCCUGGGACGGAGACACGGCCCAGACUCCUACGGGAGGCAGCAGUAGGGAAUCUUCCGCAAUGGACGAAAGUCGGACGGAGCAACGCCGCGUGAGUGAUGAAGGCUUUCGGGUCGUAAAACUCUGUUGUUAGGGAAGAACAAGUGCUAGUUGAAUAAGCUGGCACCUUGACGGUACCUAACCAGAAAGCCACGGCUAACUACGUGCCAGCCGCCGCCGUAA
rnacentral:rRNA from 1 species